GCAAUUAAGGGCGAAUGGUGGAUGCCUAGACACCAAAAGGCGAUGAAGGACGCAGCGUAGCGGCGAUACGCCUCGGGGAGGUGCGUAGCAACCGGUGAUCCGAGGAUGUCCGAAUGGGGAAACCCUGUCGUGUAAACCACGAUGACCCCGACCUAGGUCGGGGAGCGAACCCGCUGAAGUGAAACAUCUCAGUAAGCGGAGGAACAAAGAACAAGUUUAUUCCCUGAGUAGCGGCGAGCGAAACGGGAAGAGCCCAAACCCAUGUGCAUCGCACUAAGGUGCGCUGCAGAAUUCAGUCUUCGGGAUCUAGAAUUUGGCGGAAGGCUGCCGGAUUCUAAAUUCUAAUUUCUGAUCUCUGUACGGCGCUUUAGCGCGGUGUGCGUGGGGGUUGUAAGGGAGAAACUCUACUUGCUUAUAACCGAAAACCGGGCAACCGGUCAUCGGUUAUGAGUAGGUGUGGGAAAGUUACAAAAUCAUGAGUUAGCCGAAGUCCUCUGGAAAGUGGAGCCAAAGACGGUGAUAGCCCGGUAGGCGAAAACUUAUGAUCUUUCUAGUUUCUUUUCUUGAGUACUUCAAGGUAAGAGCGCCUUGAAGGAAACCGCGAGUACUAUCUCGCAAGGCUAAAUACUUUUGGUGAUCGAUAGUGAACAAGUACCGUGAGGGAAAGGUGAAAAGCAGGCCGGUGAGGCCGUUGAAAUAGAACCUGAAACCAUUUGCCUACAAGGAACCGGGGCCCGAAUCCCGACGCAAGUCGGGAAGGGUGACGGUGUGCCUAUUGAAGAAUGAGCCAACGACUUAUGGGACAUCGCAAGUCUAACCCGCGGAGCGGGGGAGGCGCAGGGAAACCGAGUCUUAAUAGGGCGACAUACAAGCGGUGUGCCAUAGACCCGAAGCCGGAUGAGCUUGCCUUGGCCAGGAUGAAGGUCGCCGAAAGGCGACCGGAGGUCCGAACCGGUGGGUUGUUCAAAACCUUCGGAUGAGCUGAGGUAAGGAGUGAAAAGCUAAUCGAAUUCGGUAAUAGCUUUAGAACGUGGGGGCUAAGCUCCAUGUUCAAAAGGGAAACAGCCCAGACCAUCAGCUAAGGUCCCUAAAUCUACGCUAAGUGUGAAAGGUAGUCUCGCGCCAUAGACAGAUAGGAGGUUGGCUUAGAGGUAGCCAUCCUUUAAAGAGUGUGGUGGUAGGAGAGCAUUCCGAUCGCACUGAAGCUCGACCCGCGAGGGCGAGUGGAGCGUUCGGAAGAGAGAAUGUUGGCAUGAGUAGCCCACAAUCCCAAUGAGAAAUUGGAACCCCGAAAAUCCAAGGUUUCCGUGGCACUGGCAAUCAACCACGGGUUAGGCGGUCCUAAGGCGAUGGCGAAAGCCGCAGCUGAAUGGGUAGCCGGUUAAUAUUCCGGCCCGCCGUAUGCGUGCGAUGUGGCGACGAAGUGCAGUAGGUCUGGUGUCUAAUUGGUUUGACAUCCGUGGUCUGAGGAGGUGCGUUUGGCAAAUCCGGCGCAGGGCCCUUCAAUGGGCACCCUCCAAGGUCAGCGGUUAGGUAGGGAAUUUACCCUGCCAAGCAGAUUGAGCGCGCUUCCAAGAAAAACCUCUAAGCAUAACGCGUGCGGCACCGUACCGGAAACCGACACAGGUGGAUAGGGCGAGAAGCCCAAGGGGAACGAGUGAUCUGCCGCUAAGGAACUCGGCAAAAAAGCGGCCGUACCUUAGGUAUAAGGCCUACCCGACGCAAGUCGGGUCGCAGCGAAAGUCUCUCUGGCGACUGUUUACCAAAAACACAGCUCCCUGCGAACUCGUAAGAGGAUGUAUAGGGGGUGACACCUGACCGAUGCGAGAAGGUCAAGCUUGGGGGUGUGUGUCUCACUGCGUUCGACACAACGCGAUGCGAAUUACGCGAAUUCCAUCCGAAUCUACGAAUCCCGGAUUAAAUCCAAAUUUGUAGAUUCGCAUACAUUCGCAGAUUAGCAUCGGAUAGGUGGCGAGCGGAGCGAGGCACAUGCUCACCGAGUCAAGCCCUCGUCAAUGUCAGCCGUAACUAUAACGGUUCUAAGGUAGCGCAAUUCCUUUUCGGGUAAGUUCCGAAGCGCACGAAAGGUGUAACGACUGGAGAACUGUCUCAGCGGCAUACUCGGCGAAAAUGCGAUUCCCGUGAAGACGCGGGAUACCUGCAGCGGGACGAAAAGACCCCGGAAGCUUUACUGCAGCUUGGUAUUGGCUUUAGGGGUUUGAUGCGUAGCGUAGUGGGGAGCCUUUGAAGCGGUCCUUUCGGGGGCCGUGGAGGCGACAAUGAAACACCCAUCUUCAAAUCUUUAAAAUCUAACCGACGGAAAACCGAAUAGAGGAAAGUCCGUCGAGACAGUGCUUGGCAGGCAGUUUAAAUGGGGCGUUUUCCUCCUAAAGAGUAACGGAGGAGUUUAUUAAGGUUGGCUAGGGUCGGAUGGAAACCGACCUCGUCGUGUAAAGGCACAAGCCAGCUUGACUGCAAGACAUACAAGUCGAGCAGGUGCGAAAGCAGAACUUAGUGACCCGACCACACAUCCUGCAGGCGUGGACGCUUGAGGGGAGUUGACCCUAGUACGAGAGGACUGGGUUGAACAGACCUCUGGUCUACCGGCUUUGCCACCAGGUGAAGCGCCGGGUAGCUAUGUCUGGAUGGGAUAAGCGCUGAAAGCAUCUAAGCACGAAGCCCACCCCAAGAUUAGGCGUCGUCCGCAAGGACAUGGCUUGGUCGCAGACUACGACCUCGAUAGGCUCUAGGUGUAAGAUCCGCAAGGAUUUGAGCCAAGGAGUACUAAAAGCC
rnacentral:rRNA from 1 species